rnacentral:rRNA from 1 species
AUUGAACGCUGGCGGCAGGCCUAACACAUGCAAGUCGAACGGUAGCACAGAGAGCUUGCUCUCGGGUGACGAGUGGCGGACGGGUGAGUAAUGUCUGGGAAACUGCCUGAUGGAGGGGGAUAACUACUGGAAACGGUAGCUAAUACCGCAUAACGUCGCAAGACCACAGAGGGGGACCUUCGGGCCUCUUGCCAUCAGAUGUGCCCAGAUGGGAUGAGCUAGGUGGUGGGGUACCGGCUCACCUAGCCGAGGAUCCCUAGCUGGUCUGAGAGGAUGACCAGCUACACUGGAACUGAGACACGGUCCAGACUCCUACGGGAGGCAGCAGUGGGGAAUAUUGCACAAUGGGCGCAAGCCUGAUGCAGCCAUGCCGCGUGUAUGAAGAAGGCCUUCGGGUUGUAAAGUACUUUCAGCGGGGAGGAAGGUGUUGUGGUUAAUAACCGCAGCAAUUGACGUUACCCGCAGAAGAAGCACCGGCUAACUCCGUGCCAGCCGCCGCCGUAA